rnacentral:rRNA from 1 species
GUUGUGCCCUUGAGGUGUGGCUUCCGGAGCUAACGCGUUAAGUCGACCGCCUGGGGAGUACGGCCGCAAGGUUAAAACUCAAAUGAAUUGACGGGGGCCCGCACAAGCGGUGGAGCAUGUGGUUUAAUUCGAUGCAACGCGAAGAACCUUACCUGGUCUUGACAUCCACGGAAGUUUUCAGAGAUGAGAAUGUGCCUUCGGGAACCGUGAGACAGGUGCUGCAUGGCUGUCGUCAGCUCGUGUUGUGAAAUGUUGGGUUAAGUCCCGCAACGAGCGCAACCCUUAUCCUUUGUUGCCAGCGGUCCGGCCGGGAACUCAAAGGAGACUGCCAGUGAUAAACUGGAGGAAGGUGGGGAUGACGUCAAGUCAUCAUGGCCCUUACGACCAGGGCUACACACGUGCUACAAUGGCGCAUACAAAGAGAAGCGACCUCGCGAGAGCAAGCGGACCUCAUAAAGUGCGUCGUAGUCCGGAUUGGAGUCUGCAACUCGACUCCAUGAAGUCGGAAUCGCUAGUAAUCGUGGAUCAGAAUGCCACGGUGAAUACGUUCCCGGGCCUUGUACACACCGCCCGUCACACCAUGGGAGUGGGUUGCAAAAGAAGUAGGUAGCUUAACCUUCGGGAGGGCGCUUACCACUUUGUGAUUCAUGACUGGGGUGAAGUCGUAACAAGGUAACCGUAGGGGAACCUGCGGUUGGAUCACCUCCU